GUGAGGAAUAUUGCACAAUGGGGGAAACCCUGAUGCAGCAACGCCGCGUGGGUGAUGAAGGCCUUCGGGUCGUAAAACCCUUUUCUAAGGGACGAGACAGGACGGUACCUUAGGAAUAAGUCCCGGCUAACUACGUGCCAGCAGCCGCGGUAAAACGUAGGGGGCGAGCGUUAUCCGGAAUUAUUGGGCGUAAAGCGCGUGCAGGCGGCUUGGUAGGUUGGACGUGAAAGCUCCUGGCUUAACUAGGAGAGGCCGUUCAAAACCGCCAGGCUUGAGGACGGAAGAGGGGAGUGGAAUUCCCGGUGUAGUGGUGGAAUGCGUAGAUAUCGGGAGGAACACCAGUGGCGAAGGCGGCUCCCUGGUCCGUAUCUGACGCUCAGACGCGAAAGCGUGGGGAGCGAACGGGAUUAGAUACCCCGGUAGUCC
rnacentral:rRNA from 1 species